UUGCGGUCAUAUUAUAUUGAAAGACUGGUUCCCGUACGAUCACCGAAGUUAAGCAACUUCGAGUCUCGUUCAUACCUAGAUAGGUGACCGCUUGGGAGUACCAGGUGCUGUAA